rfam:Gossypium hirsutum cultivar TM-1 chromosome 14, whole genome shotgun sequence
UGUUAAAAAUUUCAUCCACUUAUACUAUUAAAAAUUGACGUAGCUAAUGGAAUAAGUAAACAAUAACACAUGGCGUACCACAUGUACCUCCGUAAGGUACAAGGACCAAUUUUUAACCAUAAAAGUGGAUGAAAUUUUUAACA